rnacentral:rRNA from 1 species
GUUAAAACUCAAAUGAAUUGACGGGGGCCCGCACAAGCGGUGGAGCAUGUGGUUUAAUUCGAUGCAACGCGAAGAACCUUACCUGGUCUUGACAUCCACAGAAGAAUCCAGAGAUGGAUUUGUGCCUUCGGGAACUGUGAGACAGGUGCUGCAUGGCUGUCGUCAGCUCGUGUUGUGAAAUGUUGGGUUAAGUCCCGCAACGAGCGCAACCCUUAUCCUUUGUUGCCAGCG